rnacentral:rRNA from 1 species
AAGUGAAUAGUGAAACCUGGUGGCUCAACCAUACAGACUAUUAUUCAAACUGUUAAACUCGAGAAUGGUAGAGGUAACUGGAAUUUCUAGUGUAGGAGUGAAAUCCGUAGAUAUUAGAAGGAACACCGAUGGCGUAGGCAGGUUACUGGGCCAUUUCUGACGCUAAGGCACGAAAGCGUGGGGAGCGAACCGGAUUAGAUACCCGGGUAGUCCACGCCGUAAACGAUGGAUACUAGCUGUUGGAGGUAUCGACCCCUUCAGUAGCGAAGCUAACGCGUUAAGUAUCCCGCCUGUGGAGUACGGCCGCAAGGCUAAAACAUAAAGGAAUUGACGGGGACCCGCACAAGCGGUGGAUUAUGUUCUUUAAUUCGAUGAUAACCGAAGAACCUUACCAGGGCUUGACAUCCAG